AGGAUUUGAUGCUGGUCCAGGUAGAACCCUGGCGGUGUGGAUAAGGCAUGCAAGUCAGAGGGCCAAGACAAUAAAUGGGAGUUUUUCCCAUGAGUUGUCUUGGUACCUGGCAGACGGGUCAGUAACACGUGGGUAACCUACCCCAGAGACGGGGACAAUCUGGGAAACCAGGCUAAUCCCCGAUAGUCUGUUUGGGUGAAAUUCCCAAACAGUAAAAGGAAGGGGUAACACCCCGACCGCUCUGGGAGGGGCCCGCGGCCUAUCAGGUAGUUGGUGGGGUAAUGGCCCACCAAGCCUAUGACGGGUAGGUGGCCUGAGAGGGUGGCC
rnacentral:rRNA from 1 species